rnacentral:rRNA from 1 species
GUGGGGAAUUUUGGACAAUGGGGGAAACCCUGAUCCAGCCAUGCCGCGUGCAGGAUGAAGGCCUUCGGGUUGUAAACUGCUUUUGUACGGAACGAAAAGGUCCUUUCUAAUAAAGAGGGCUCAUGACGGUACCGUAAGAAUAAGCACCGGCUAACUACGUGCCAGCAGCCGCGGUAAUACGUAGGGUGCGAGCGUUAAUCGGAAUUACUGGGCGUAAAGCGUGCGCAGGCGGUUAUAUAAGACAGAUGUGAAAUCCCCGGGCUCAACCUGGGAACUGCAUUAGUGACUGUAUAGCUGGAGUGCGGCAGAGGGGGAUGGAAUUCCGCGUGUAGCAGUGAAAUGCGUAGAUAUGCGGAGGAACACCGAUGGCGAAGGCAAUCCCCUGGGCCUGCACUGACGCUCAUGCACGAAAGCGUGGGGAGCAAACAGGAUUAGAAACCCUUGUAGUCC